rnacentral:rRNA from 1 species
UACGAAGGGGGCGAGCGUUGUUCGGAUUUACUGGGCGUAAAGGGCGCGUAGGCGGCGCCGCAAGUCGCGUGUGAAAGCCCCGGGCUCAACCUGGGAGGUGCGCGCGAGACCGUGGUGCUGGAGUUCGGGAGAGGAGCGUGGAAUUCCCAGUGUAGAGGUGAAAUUCGUAGAUAUUGGGAAGAACACCGGUGGCGAAGGCGGCGCUCUGGACCGAGACUGACGCUGAGGCGCGAAGGCGUGGGGAGCAAACAGG